AACGGCCUCCCAGGCCGCGGGGCCGAGCGGCCGGCGCCGGGCGACUGCGCCCGCGAGUGGGACCGCGGCCUGGACCCCGGGGACGAGCCCGACGUCUCCCUUCAGGAGCGCUCCUCGCUCUGUCUCUCGGACUUCCUCCCUCCCUCGCCCUCCCCGGCCGCCCUCCUCGCUCCCUCCCUCCCUCCCUCCCCCCCCACCCCGCCCUGCCCCCUCCUCGCUCCGCGCCGCCGCGCUCACUCCUCCCCCUCCCGACCUGGCGGCCGCCUCCCUCUCUUAUCUCGCUCCCCGCUCUCCAGGGUCUCCUCGCUCUUCAUUCCUCUCGCGGCCUCCUCCCCUUUCCCUCACUCACCCUCUUUCCAAUUGAGGGAUCACAGACUCACUCCGGUUCUGCCAGGGGGACGACCCCCACCCCUCGCAAAACUCGACCACCUCUGACUUCAUGAAAUAUUCUUUCUGUUUGCCCCCCGCAGCAAGCCCCGCGUCCCAUCCCAGGACCCAGCCCCGCCCCUCCGCGCCCCCUUCCUCCUCCUGGCCCGCCGGGCCGAGUGGUGCUGCUGCGGGUGCGGCUGCUCGGAGCCUCCCUGGCCGCCCUCCCCAGGGCCGAUACUGACUCCAUCUGUCAACUUCGUUUAGACUUUGCCGCCCUCAGCCACACGCCGGGGUGCCAGACGCCCAAAGGGUGCUCAUCCAGGCCUUAAAAGUUGGCAGCAUCCCCCAGGAACUACCCUGUGAACAAAUCCAGGCUUUCGGAAGCACGUGAUUCUGCAGAAAUGCCACAUUCUCUUCCACAUGGGCUGUGGGCUCUGAGUCCCCCUUUGCUUCCUCGGCCUAUGUACCUGCUGAAGAAGACAGUUGUGUCGUGUACAUGCAACCUAAGGAGGUAACCUUUUACCCAGCCUGAGACUUCAGAGGGUAUUCAUAUUGGGGACCAGCAGCCCGUGAUGUUUGUCCCCCAGAGAGGGGGAGAGAGCUGCUGCCUGCAGAGUGGCUGCUCCUGCUUUGCACGGCCCCUGGCUUCUGCAUCCCUCCAUCCUCCAGCUGGGCACAGAGGUUGCCAAAAGGGCCAGUAGGAGGAGAAGGCUUCAUGGAGGACGGGGGCAAGAGCGGGCCGACCAUGCUGGCUUCCUCGCCUUGUGUCUGGCUGACUGCACAGGCCUGAGGAGGCUGUGUGUAAGUUGGCAAAUGACAGGAAGAGCAUGUGCUUCUAAUCACCCACCCAUCUUAAUAACGUCGAACAGAUACAGUGCAGAAACUAUUGCACAACCACCAGCAUUUCAUUACAUCAGAAUCCUUGCCAAUUUGAAAGAGGUCCUUGAAUCCAGGGAGAGUUACAUCUUUACGUUUUUGAUCACGAUCCUCUUGGAAGAUACUUAUUAGGGCCAUUUGUUGAUGACAAUAUUAAGAAUUAGCAAAUAUCUUCUUAAAUAUAACAAAAAUUGAAUUGUUUCAUUAGAGAACUAUAAAGUCUGUUAUUUAAGAGGAAACUGUUGUGCUGUUCAAAAGCAGGAAAGAAUUGUUGAAGGACUCUUCCUGGUCUCCUUUCUAGAACUGAGGCAACUCAGCUAUUGUAGUCAAAAGAAUUUUUAAAAAAUUAGUAAAGAGAAAAGCAGAAUCUUCGUACA
rnacentral:lncRNA from 1 species